rnacentral:rRNA from 1 species
UGGGGAAUAUUGGACAAUGGGCGAAAGCCUGAUCCAGCCAUGCCGCGUGAGUGACGAAGGCCUUAGGGUUGUAAAACUCUUUCGUCGGGGACGAUAAUGACGGUACCCGAAGAAGAAGCUCCGGCUAACUUCGUGCCAGCAGCCGCGGUAAUACGAAGGGAGCUAGCGUUGUUCGGAAUCACUGGGCGUAAAGCGCACGUAGGCGGAUAGUUAAGUCAGGGGUGAAAUCCUGGGGCUCAACCCCAGAACUGCCUUUGAUACUGGCUGUCUCGAGGUCGAGAGAGGUUGGUGGAAUUCCUAGUGUAGAGGUGAAAAUUCGUAGAUAUUAGGAAGAACACCAGUGGCGAAGGCGGCCAACUGGCUCGAUACUGACGCUGAGGUGCGAAAGCGUGGGGAGCAAACAGGAUUAGAUACCCAGUAGUCCCUGAGCGGGCUGGCAAGGCGCAU